rnacentral:rRNA from 1 species
GAUGAACGCUGGCGGUAUGCUUAACACAUGCAAGUCGAACGGGCUCUUCGGAGUUAGUGGCGGACGGGUGAGUAACGCGUGAGAAUCUGGCUUUGGGUUCGGGACAACCACUGGAAACGGUGGCUAAUACCGGAUGUGCCGAGAGGUAAAAGAGAAAUUGCCUGAAGAUGAGCUCGCGUCUGAUUAGCUAGUUGGUGAGGUAAAGGCUCACCAAGGCAGCGAUCAGUAGCUGGUCUGAGAGGAUGACCAGCCACACUGGGACUGAGACACGGCCCAGACUCCUACGGGAGGCAGCAGUGGGGAAUUUUCCGCAAUGGGCGAAAGCCUGACGGAGCAAUACCGCGUGAGGGAAGAAGGCUCUUGGGUUGUAAACCUCUUUUCUUAGGGAAGAACAAAAUGACGGUACCUAAGGAAUCAGCAUCGGCUAACUCCGUG